GAGUCCUGAAGGAACGUUGAAGACGACAACGUUGAUAGGCCGGGUGUGUAAGCGCAGCGAUGCGUUGAGCUAACCGGUACUAAUGAACCGUGAGGCUUAACCUUACAACGCCGAAGCUGUU
rnacentral:rRNA from 1 species